CGUGUAGGCGGCAGACCAAGUCGGAUGUGAAAUCUCUCGGCUCAACCGAGAAACUGCAUUCGAAACUGGUCAGCUAGAGUGCGAGAGGGGUGAGUGGAACUCCAGGUGUAGCGGUGAAAUGCGUAGAUAUCUGGAGGAACGCCGGUGGCGAAAGCGACUCACUGGCUCGCAACUGACGCUGAGGCGCGAAAGCUAGGGGAGCGAACAGGAUUAGAUACCCUGGUAGUCC
rnacentral:rRNA from 1 species